GGGGUGUUUCACACAAAAUAACCUCAUAUUUUCUUUACUGGGUAGACAUAAGGUCAUCUGCAGAGAGGAAGGUGGGCCGAUGGUAGACGAAUUGUCACUUAACAAAUCCUACUUCUUAAUACAUUCUUUUAAAACAACUCAGCAACAACUUGGGUGCAUUUAUAUGCUUUGCAUGAAUGUAUUCUGCCAUUUCUGUGAGGAAGCAAAUUAUUACGAAUAACUAUAAAAAUGAAAUGGUUAUAUAUUUAUUUUUUCAAAAACAAAAGGCAGAUUCCAAAGGUAUAAUCUAAGAUGAGGCAUCAUGAUCACUAGAGGUGCCUGUUCCCAUUACUGCCAUGCUUUAAUCCACUUGCCCUCAACUGUCUACCAUCCUCCGGCUCCCCAUCCCUCACAUCCUAAAUAACACACCUAGCUUAAGUAACAAUUACUCACUUAAAAGUGGGAAAAUAUGGUCAGUAUUGAGGGAGUGUAGCACCAAAAUCUGUAUCAGUCAAAGUUUUCCAGAGAAAGAGAACCAAUAGGAUAUGUAUGUAUGUAUGUAUGUAUGUAUGUAUGUAUGUAUGCAUGCAUCUACUAUCUACCAUCUGUCUAUCUAUCUAUCUAUCUAUCUAUCUAUCUAUCUAUCUAUCUAAGAAGGGAUUUAUUAUAGAAAUUGGCUCAUGCAAUUAUGGAGUGACAAUAUGCCACCUGCAAGCUGGAGACCCAAGAAAGCUGAUAGUGUAAUUCAGUCCAAGAGAUAGUGUAAUUCAGUCCAAGACCAAAGGCCUGAGAACCAGCGGGGGAAUGCUGCUGGUGUAAACCCUGGAGUCUGAAGGCCUGAGGACAAGGAGCUCUGAUGUCCGAGGGCAGAAGAUAGAUGUCCCAGCUGCAGAAGAGUGGAAUCUGAAUUGUGGCCCUCAAAGACCCACUGGAGGGCAGACACUGGCAGGCUGUGGGAGAAGCUGAGGAUAGGGUGAGUGAAACUCCACAGGUGACCUUGGACAAGUGCCUAAACUUUCUGUGCCUCUGUGUGUACAUCUGCAAAGUGAAGUGGUGGACUUUGUGAGCCCCAAGGUUCCUCAUGCAUUCUAGAAUUGCAGCACUUUUUGAGGGAUUGUAAGAGGAAAGAAGCAGUUACAGAAACACAAUUUUGAAAUGCUAGGUCUUUGGUAUUUGAAGCCAAGGAAAUGGCUAGGGGUCUCUGAAAAAAAAAAUAGUAUUAUGAAUAAGAUGGAACCAGACAGCACCCUAAAAGUUUGUGACAAAGGAAGUCUCAAUCCUUACAUCAGAAGCAAAUUUCUCACUGUAUACCUUUACAUUUUAUAAAACAUGGUCACAUGGAACAAUAGCUUGCAGACUGGGAAGCACUUGAACAUAAUAGUGUUUCAUUUGAUCCUCAUACACUCUUGGGAGAUAGAAAGCAUUAUUUUUACUCUCUCCAUUUUAUGAACAAGGAAAAUCAGUUUCCAAGUAGUUAAGGUCACAGAGCUGAGUAUUGGACUCUGUUCUUACGGAUUUCUGUACCCUCCAUAGAGAAUGGGGUCAGUGGGGUCUUAUCCUUGAGCAGCCGUGUCAGAAGUGGGAGCCCUGGGCAUAGAGCCUUAGGGACUUAUGGAACAUACUGUGUCCUCACUAGGCUGGAGCAGGGACUAUGGUUGUGGAUGCCAUAAUUGGUCUGCUUUGGAAAGGGCUUCCUUUAUCUCCAUCAAAGAGAUAUCACCAAAGAUCUGGGGGCAGCUUGGCCAGUCUAUGUGCUGACUCUCUGCUGGAGCUGUCUCCUAAUCAGGUCACUGCUAGAGUUCCUCUUCCUAAAUGUCCCAGUGCCAUGACUUUGGUGCUCUAGCUUGUGGGAUUGAAUCAAUCUAAGAGUCCAGAGUCUAUGAGGACUCCUUCUUCUCUAUUGUAUGCUGCUGUCUGAAGCUAAAUGCUAUUGUACAAGUUUUGUUGCUGUUUAGAUUUUUUUUGUUCCCAGAUUAUUGUUCCAAAAAUAGACCUACGAUAUAUUCUUAUACAUUUGAAUUUAAUUAAGAACCUUUUUCUCAAUGACAUAAAUAUGGUUUUACUGUUUCCAGCCAGGCCAGACAAAGAUGCCUGAAGACAGAUUUCUAAAUGAUGCUAUGUGCCAAUUUCUCUGAUCUUUUUAAUAUUGUAACUAACGGGCCUUGCUCUGAGAUGGUGGUUUACGAUUUUGACAUGCUGUCCUGUACCACUCUCUGAUCACAAGGGAAUACGUAGAAACUCACCAAAGCAACUGCUGUCAGUCGUCAAAGUGGAGCCACAUUGUCCCUUCUAACCUCAUAAGGAUCCUUAUGGGAUUCAGGAUGAUCACAUUUUCAGUGCUCUAAGGACUGUCUCCGUAUGACCCCAGCCAUACCAUGCCCAUUACUGAUGUAUUUGACCUGUUGAGCCUCCAACAGCAUUGCAGACUCCACUUUUUGUGUUCCAACAGGACUAAGGCCAGAAGCGAAUGUCCUAUUUUUUCCUGCCAUUUCUCUGCUGAGCAACAGUUCACCCUUGGAGCUGCUGCUGCCUAAAGAACAGGAGAAGAUUCAGGAAUGCUAACAAUAGUUACCUACAUAUCGCAUGCCCUCUGCCCUUGCCCAUUGUAACAGCCUCACCACUUGGAUCAGUAAGAGUCCACACUUGCUCAGUACAUCUUGGUGCUCACUUCAGCUGUGGGCUCUGAUUUAAACAUCCAGCUCAGGGGAUGCCUCUUUGGUGCAUGUCAUAAUCAGGAGAAGAAUGCUGUCUUUGGAUUCUGGAACUGACUCCAUUUGUAGUGAAGAGUUUGGAGAGCAUCAAUAAUGGGAUGGCAACAUUCAUUCAUUCAUUUAUACCUCUAACCAGUCUUUCCUCACAUACUGGUUGAGUACUCAAUACGUGCCCUGUGCUUAGCUGAGUACUGUUCAAUGGUGAACAAAGAAGACAUGGUCUUAACUAGGAGUUCCUAUUUCAACAGAGUAGCCCAAGGAACUUCAACCACUUUUGCUACAGGUGUAUUAGUUACUGCCAAGAGUCUGUAAGUGUUCAUGGGCCUCAUUAAGCUCUGCCUUCCUUCUGCUUUUUGGAGCCUGGCCUUUGGUUGGCCUUGAAUGAAGAGUAGGGCCCCCAAAGUACCACUGUCAGCACUCUCCAGCAUCAUCUGGCUGUCUGGCACCAUCAAAGAAUUGCAUUUCUGACCCAAGAAGAGCUUAUGGGUGGAUGGGGGUGGGAUGGAGGCUGGGGAGAGGAUUGAUGCCAGCCAGCUGCCUCACAGGGUGCUGGAAACACGUGGCCAUGCCAUUAGCAUCCUGUUUGGCUUCUGGACGAGUUUCAUCUGUGACACCUACAUAGUCCUCGCUUGGAUCAGCAAGAUAAAAGGCAGCCCUGAUGUUAGUGCCUCCUCUGAUGAGCCAUACGCCAGAAUCCAGCAGAGCAGAAGGCAAUGCCACGCAGAAGAGGACCAAAGUCAGGUGCCAGAAGCAGGUGACAUCUCCACUCUCAGUUCUUUGGAGGCAGCUAUUUUAAUAGAACCACUUUACUGCAGCUAUUUUGACAUGAGGAUAUUUUGGUAUGGCUCAAAGAUUCAGCCGAUAAAUGUUCAGCUUUUUAAAAAAUAAAUGAUGAGUAAAAUAGGCAUCUUGCAGGCCAUCUGUGAGCUUCACCUCAACCUUGAUCUUCACUUCCCCCCCUCCAUUGUCAGUCUUACCUCCAGGCAUUAAGGGUGUAUGGAUUGGUAACAGAUGAAGGAAAGGACUGGUAGAGGUUCAAAAUGAAAGAAAUAGCAGGUCAGGACUCCAGGAGGGUUGAGGGUCUUUUAAAGUAAAACAAAACAAACAAACAAACAAAAAAACAGGGUCAACCAAAUUCAGAAGUCAGGUAGAAGUCAGAGAAGGAAUGAAAGAUGGGAAACUGGUUAUAAACCAAAUACAGCGAGUCUGAAUUUUGACUUGUUUUGAGGCUGCUGUAUCAAAACAGUUGUGUUGGAAGAGCUGCAUGAAAUUGUUGGGCAAGAAAUAGUCCACUCAUGAUUCAGAUAAGCUCAUUUUGCCUCUUCCAUGGUCGAUUUCUGACUCAUAAAUGUCUAUACAUUUCACUUUACUGCUUAUGUGAGCCUCAGUUUCCCCACAUAAAAUGCAGAUGAUGAUGUCGGCCCUUCCUCUUUCCCCACGUUUUGCUCUCCUUCCAAGUGGCAUGAUGAGGAAUGAGCCAGCAUCUUGUAAACUGCUCCAGGCCACCUGGAGAAAUGUGCUUGCGUAAAUAGUCGGCAUUAGUAUACGUGAGUCUUCCAUGAGUAAAGAAUUUCAGAGUUGGCAGCCGUCUCUGCCUGGUGAUUCAUGUGGGCACAAUGAUGCCCUUAGCUACAAUGUAUGGUGUGGGUGAUGAAUUUGUUCUUGUCACAGCAGAGGACUGAGUAUUCUUUACCCAAAUGCUAUAGAUUGAGUUUGCACAUGGGAACUAGAUUAGCUCUGAAGAGAGUUGAAAGGAACCUGACAUUUCUGCCUACAAUCUAGAGUUUCAUUGUACAAACAACCGCAGCAGCACAUUUGUGCCCAACCAUUGGCUCCCUUUGCCAGCAAAGAAAAUCUUCUAAAUUCUUCUGCCAUUUGUCAAACCUGCCAAAGUCCCUGGAGGCAGUUCUGGUAUAACUGAAGGUGGAGAAAGAUAAUAUUCUCUCUACCAGGUUUCACUACUUCCUGUGUUGGUUGUUCACAAGGGGAGAGCUUCUGCAUCACAGGAUGAAGCUUCGGUGAUUUAGAUGUGGAAUAUCCUUCCAGGAUUAGGGCAAGGAGGCCCCAGCUUCCAGAACUCUGUCCUGCAGCCUCCGCGUGGCUGGGCAGCGGCCUUCCUUUGAGCCUUCAGGGUGGAAACGAAGGACACGUGCGUCUCUGCAGCACUUCUGGCUUUCGCUCAAUCCUAUUUUCAGAGCCAAAGCGCCAUCUCCUCUGGUACAGUUAAUCUUUGUUCCUGCCACUGACCCUUCUAUCUUUAUUACUUUUCACCACGUCCUGGCCUUCAGAUUUCUUAUGGAUUUGUCUCUCAGGCGUUGUGUUUUGAUUCCCUCCUCACAUUUACUUCCAAGUGCCAAGAACAACUCUGUUCCGGCAGAAGGAUAUUAUUUGGCUUAAAAAGAAGAAUGAGCAGUGGCUUCUCUCCAUCAGCAUUCUUUAGGUUUACGUGGGAAUUCAUUCUGGGAACCAUUUAGAGUCUCCUUCAAGCCUCUCCCUGACCGACAAAGUUUCUGUCCCAGAGAGUUACUUUGCUUCCAUUGUUUCUAAGUGGAUGAUAAGAACCUUUCUUUCUGAGCCUAUGUAGAAGGACUCAACACCCCUCCCCUCAUUACUCCCCAGAGUAUCCAUUGGCUGGGCCCACAAUGGAUACACCCUGAGUAUUGUUACCAUUGUUAUAGACUUCAGCAUCAACUCCAGUAUUUGGUGGUCCAAUAAACCUUGAGUCCUCUUCAAGAAUUGUUAGUUUUUCCCACCUUUGAGAACCACACUCACCCUUUAAGGCAGCUCUUCCUAAGUGACUGACAAACACUCCCUGGUUGAGCUGGUGGGGGCAGGUCCAGCCAACAAUGGCUUCUCUGUUGACAUCACACAGGCCUUAAUGACACAGACUAGUCACAACAGCUGGUGCACUCAUGAGUGCCUAUUAAUAUUUUGGGUAACUUGUAUUGCCCCAUCCACCACUCUGUAUAGUGAUUCUGGAAUUUGCUAUUUGAUAUGAGCAAAUGAAAAGAUGGAAGGGGCUGUUCACCACUCAGGCUGCAAGCAAGCCUGUCAUGCCCAUCUGCCAAGAGGAGUCCUUGUGUGCCUCCAAAAUGGCCUGGUCCUUAACUUGAUCUGCUUGGACUGAUUGCAAACAGUGGCUUAGCUUCCUCUAGACCAGAGGACAUUCUGUGCUCCCAAAACAGAAUGCUACACAUGGGAACAAGGGAAAGGGAGGCUUUGAGAGGUCAGCCAGCAAGGCCCCUGCUUCAAGCCUAAAACCAACGUAAUUAGGUGAAGAUUGAGCAGGAUAAGGCUUUGCAAGGAACAUCCCUGCCAUGUCAAGGUGAUCCCAGCAUUGCAAGUUCUCCCCUGAGGCGCAGAGCCCAGAAGAAAUCAGCGUGGAAUGAAAAGAGUCAAGGAUGGAGCCCCCACAGGACUUAGCAAGAAUGCCAAUAGGAAGCUGGUUGGGACUGAAUCUGGGCAGAAUGGCUGUCGCACUUGCUUUGAAGUUACGAGCACAGCAGUACCAGAACAAUCAGCAGGCAUCUCCGAAAGUUUCUAGGGCAGGGAAUCCACCAGGGCAGAGCCUCAGCUCUCAGCCUCCCGGAAUGAACCAUGAACCCAAAGCAAAGAGCAGAACUCCUUUGACACCUCCAGCUUCACAGACAAAGAAACAUGCAGUUCUGAAGUCUGGCCAGCCACACCAAAGAGCUUUUCGCAAGACGGCACAGGCCAGGUAGAGGCAGCUGUGCAGUGGGAGGACUGUGAUGUUUUGGACUAGAAAAUAAGACACAAAUGAGGCCAACAAAACACAGGCACUGCAUAAAGGUGUCUUCUCCCCACUUUAUAAGCCUUAUGUGUGAAAAUAUUCAAUGCCACAACAAGGCAAGCAAAUAGGUCCUUGGAGGGAGGGAUAGCUGGAUUUUAAUCCUGGCUCUACACUAAGGUCUUGGACUACUUACUGCAGGUCUCUGAGCUUCAUAGUUUUAUGUAUAAAAUAGGAUGAAGACCAUCCCCAAAUCCACUUCGAUGGUGAGAAUUAGGUGACAUGACAGCAGAAGGGCAUUUAGAGCUUGGCACAGAAGGGGUCUCAACAAAUGGUAGCUGUGUUUCAUCGUUCAUUUGAGAACUGAUGUUUGGAUCCUUUUCUGCAUCUUGAAACAUCCCAAAAUAUUCCUCCUUAAGCCCUGCAGUUGGAUACUCAUUGAUACUUCUCUGUUCAAUUUAUACUGCGAGCAGGGGAGGGAGGCUUGAGCUUGGUUCCAUGAACGAGGGUGAAGGGUGUAAGUCUCCCAGCUUCAUUUCUGUCUCCUCCUCACCUGGGGAGCCAUGGCCAAUUCUCUUCCCAGGUCACUUGACUUCUCCAUGACCAUGACUUUCACCUUCUGCAUUUUGGAACAAUAUACUCAUGAAUGCUAAGAAGCUUUUGUUUCUUUCUGCCUGUGCUGAGCCUGUCUACUAUAAAAGAAAAAUCACAAUGGUUGUCAUAGUUAUGCUCUUUGCUUCCUGAGUGGAAUAGCACCGGUUUUUAUGUUACAUUAUACUGUAUUCUGGAUCUCUCUUUGAUGGUCGGUUAUGGAGAAGGUUUGCCAAUUCUUUCUCUUACAAUUCUUUUUAAAUAAAUCCUCAGAAUUAAGGCCAUUUUAUUAUCUUCUUUUACUUUUAAAUAAAUAUAUAUAUAUAUAU